GGGUGAGUAACACGUGAGAAUCUGCCUUCGGGUCUGGGAUAACAGUUGGAAACGACUGCUAAUACCGGAUGUGCCUACGGGUGAAAGAUUUAUUGCCAGAAGAUGAGCUCGCGUCUGAUUAGCUAGUUGGUGGGGUAAAAGCCUACCAAGGCGACGAUCAGUAGCUGGUCUGAGAGGAUGAGCAGCCACACUGGGACUGAGACACGGCCCAGACUCCUACGGGAGGCAGCAGUGGGGAAUUUUCCGCAAUGGGCGAAAGCCUGACGGAGCAAGACCGCGUGAGGGAGGAAGGCCUUUGGGUUGUAAACCUCUUUUGUCAGGGAAGAAMAAAAUGACGGUACCUGACGAAUCAGCCUCGGCUAACUCCGUGCCAGCAGCCGCGGUAAUACGGAGGAGGCAAGCGUUAUCCGGAAUCAUUGGGCGUAAAGCGUCCGUAGGUGGCCAAGUAAGUCUGCUGUCAAAGACCACAGCUUAACUGUGGAAAGGCAGUGGAAACUGCRGGGCUAGAGUGCGGUAGGGGUAGAGGGAAUUCCAGGUGUAGCGGUGAAAUGCGUAGAGCUCUGGAAGAACACCGGUGGCGAAAGCGCUCUACUGGGCCGUAACUGA
rnacentral:rRNA from 1 species